rnacentral:rRNA from 1 species
GACGAACGCUGGCGGCGUGCUUAACACAUGCAAGUCGAACGGAAAGGCCCUGCUUUUGUGGGGUGCUCGAGUGGCGAACGGGUGAGUAACACGUGAGUAACCUGCCCUUGACUUUGGGAUAACUUCAGGAAACUGGGGCUAAUACCGGAUAGGAGCUCCUGCUGCAUGGUGGGGGUUGGAAAGUUUCGGCGGUUGGGGAUGGACUCGCGGCUUAUCAGCUUGUUGGUGGGGUAGUGGCUUACCAAGGCUUUGACGGGUAGCCGGCCUGAGAGGGUGACCGGCCACAUUGGGACUGGGAAACGGCCCAGACUCCUACGGGAGGCAGCGGGGGGGAAUAUUGCAAAAUGGGCGGAAGCCGGAUGCAGCAACGCCGGGUGGGGGAUGACGGCCUUCGGGUUGUAAACCGCUUUCGCCUGUGACGAAGCGGGAGGGACGGUAAUGGGUAAAGAAGCACCGGCUAACUACGG